CUCCACUCUCUGAUAGAGACACAAACCCAGCCUGAGGGAACAAAAAAGCCUGCCUGGGAGCAAUGUAAGGCUGCUGUCUUCAUCCCAGCAUCUGCAGUCCAUUGUUACUGGAUCUCCUGGGAUUGUGCCUAAAGAAGUUUCCAAAUCAAGUUGUAGUCAAGAUUCUUUUUCUGAAACUGCCAAAGGGAACAAUUGUGGUGGGAAUCUGAUUACGGUGUGGUCCACAUUCACCAUAAGGGAAGACAGACUUUUCUAUCCCGAGAUACACUGCAAUGUCUUCAUUCUUUGUGCAUUUAAACCCAGGCCAGAAACUAAUGCACAAGUGAAAGAAAACAGGCUACUGAAGGAAAUCCAGUCACACCGCGGGGGCUGCUGAGCACUCAGGAUGUUUGGGUUAUUUCAUUAUCUGCAGUGUUUGCAGUCAUUCCCCUGGAGUAUAAUCUGCAGCCGGAAUUAACACCUUAUUUACACCUUUCCCCGGUCAUUGAGAUUGAUGUGGAAAACCUCCAUAAAUGUUGUGUCCUCCCAUGCUGCUCUCCAGGAAGAACUUGUCCCUCUCCUCACAUUGCUCUCCUGCGUGACCAGGUGCUGCUUUGCACACCUGACAAUCUGCUGGGACGUCGUUUGCCUGCAGUCACGGCAGUACCACCCAUGGGACUGAAUCAGUCAGAAAUUAAAAAGUCACAAAUCAUCCAGCCAAAAAAAAAAAAAA